GGAACAUUCUCAAGGAUAGAUCACAUGUUAGGCCACAAAGCAAGUCUCAGUAAAUUUAAAAAGAUUGGAAAAAAACACAAAAUCCAUGGAGGCUCAACACCAUGAUACUCAACAGCCAAUGGGUCAAAGAAAUCAAAGAGGAAAUCAAAAUACAUAGAGACAAAUGAAACUAAAACCAACAGUCCAAUGUCUUGGGGACACAGCUAAAGCUUUUACAAGAGGAAAAUUAAUACUAAUACAUACUUUU